rnacentral:lncRNA from 1 species
AAGCAGGUCACUGAAGUAAUCCCAGAGAGCGCAGAGAGGUGGCAACUGAGGACAACCAGCAGUGGCAGUGGAGAUGGAGAAAUACCAAAUAUACUUGAAAGGUUCUCUCCUACACUACCUACACCACAGGGAUUCAGCCAUGAAAAACAACAACUAACACCCUACGCCCGUGGAGCUUUCAGCUAGUGGGAGAGCUAGUCAAGUUUAUGUCUUACAUCUGCUAUUGAACAGUAAGCAGUAGGUGAUUUGAAAGGAGGACCUCUGUCUUAUUUAUUUUUAUGUUCUCUACAAUACCUGGCUGGGCAAUUGGGAC